GACGAACGCUGGCGGCGUGCUUAACACAUGCAAGUCGAACGCUGAAGCUCAGCUUUUGUUGGGUGGAUGAGUGGCGAACGGGUGAGUAACACGUGAGUAACCUGCCUCCUUCUUUGGGAUAACGCCCGGAAACGGGUGCUAAUACUGGAUAUUCACUGGUCUUCGCAUGGGGGUUGGUGGAAAGGGUUUUUCUGGUGGGGGAUGGGCUCGCGGCCUAUCAGCUUGUUGGUGGGGUGAUGGCCUACCAAGGCUUUGACGGGUAGCCGGCCUGGGAGGGUGACCGGUCACAUUGGGACUGAGAUACGGCCCAGACUACGACGGGAGGCAGCAGUGGGGAAAAGUGCACAAUGGGCGCAAGCCUGAUGCAGCGACGCCGCGUGAGGGAUGGAGGCCUUCGGGUUGUGAACCUCUUUCGCUCAUGGUCAAGCCGCAACAAUGGUUGUGGUGAGGGUAGUGGGUAAAGAAGCGCCGGCUAACUACGUG
rnacentral:rRNA from 1 species